rnacentral:rRNA from 1 species
UACGUAGGGACCGAGCGUUGUCCGGAUUCAUUGGGCGUAAAGAGCUCGUAGGCGGCCACUCAAGUCGAAUGUGAAACCUCGAGGCUUAACCUCGAGCCCUGCAUUUGAUACUGGGCGGCUAGAGUCUGGUAGGGGGAUCUGGAAUUCCUGGUGGUAGCGGUGGAAUGCGCAGAUAUCAGGAGGAACACCGGUGGCGAAGGCGGGACCUGGGCCAGUACUGACGCUGGAGGACGAACGCGAACGGGAGGGCAAAGCAGGGAUUAAGAA